CCGUAAUAACAACAAAAGUCAUGAGAACAAUUAUAGUAAAUACAUAUUGGUGGUGGCGCUCUUUACAACUCAUAAGGUCGUAAGGAACCAGUCCUCAUGUAUAUACUAUCAUGAUAUAAUAAAAGGUCUGUC
rfam:Parabacteroides merdae CAG:48 genomic scaffold, scf501